CGGGAGCUUAUUACUGCAAUAUAUUGCACGGUAUAUAUAGUAUACAUGCAGCUAACUCGGAAAAGGUUGUCCUUCAAAAAUCUCAAACCUUAAACUGUAAGCGCGCAAAGUGUGAGGAGCAACUUCUUUUUACGGCUUUUGAUUGCAUGGGCAAAUAAUCCUAGUACAAUGCUAGUUGUAUAUUAUAGUGCUUUUUAUAUGUCUUGCCAUACAGUAGUUGCAAUGCAAAAUUCGCUAGUAAAAAGCCCAAAGUAUAUUGUCUG